rnacentral:rRNA from 1 species
GGCCUGGCUGGCCGGUCCGCCUCACCGCGUGUACUGGUCUGGCCGGGCCUUUCCUUCUGGAGAACCUCAUGCCCUUCAUUGGGUGUGUUGGGGAACCAGGACUUUUACUUUGAAAAAAUUAGAGUGUUCAAAGCAGGCCUUUGCUCGAAUACGUUAGCAUGGAAUAAUAGAAUAGGACGU